rnacentral:rRNA from 1 species
GGCCUCUCGCAAAACACAAAUGAGAGGUCCGACCUGCCCAGUGACACUAAGUUCAACGGCCGCGGUAUUUUAACCGUGCUAAGGUAGCGUAAUCACUUGUCUUUUAAAUGAAGACCUGUAUGAAAGGCACCACGAGGGCCCUACUGUCUCCUUUUCCAAGUCAGUGAAAUUGAUCUGCUCGUGCAAAAGCGAGCAUAAAAACAUAAGACGAGAAGACCCUGUGGAGCUUUAGACGCAAUAUUAACCGUGCCUAGAAGCCCACCCUUCAAUCAAGGUAACCAGCCACACAAGCAUAACGGCCAUAAUUAAGCUGUCUUCGGUUGGGGCGACCACGGGGGACAACUAAGCCCCCGAGAGGAACCAGGGGACCAGCCAUAAUAGUCCCUAAGAGCUACGAGCCACCCCUCUAAGCAACAGAAAUUUCUGACCAAUUAUGAUCCGAACUAAAUUCGAUCAACGAACCAAGUUACCCCAGGGAUAACAGCGCAAUCCUUUCCCAGAGCCCAUAUCGCCGAAAGGGUUUACGACCUCGAUGUUGGAUCAGGACAUCCUGGUGGCGAAAAUUUUACCAAGGGUUCGUUUGUUCAACGAUUAAAGUCCU